rnacentral:rRNA from 1 species
GACGAACGCUGGCGGCGUGCUUAACACAUGCAAGUCGAACGGAAAGGCCCUGCUUUUGUGGGGUGCUCGAGUGACGAACGGGUGAGUAACACGUGAGUAACCUGCCCUUGACUUUGGGAUAACUUCAGGAAACUGGGGCUAAUACCGGAUAGGAGCUCCUGCUGCAUGGUGGGGGUUGGAAAGUUUCGGCGGUUGGGGAUGGACUCGCGGCUUAUCAGCUUGUUGGUGGGGUAGUGGCUUACCAAGGCUUUGACGGGUAGCCGGCCUGAGAGGGUGACCGGCCACAUUGGGACUGAGAUACGGCCCAGACUCCUACGGGAGGCAGCAGUGGGGAAUAUUGCACAAUGGGCGGAAGCCUGAUGCAGCAGCGCCGCGUGCGGGAUGACGGCCUUCGGGUUGUAAACCGCUUUCGCCUGUGACGAAGCGUGAGUGACGGUAAUGGGUAAAGAAGCACCGGCUAACUACGUG